GGGAGAAGUGGUAACUGUUCAAAAUGGAAUAAUUUGAGAGGAAUUUUCGAGGAGAAAUCUUCACAAAGCAACUCCAACACUACAGGUUUGAAACAAUUUCACUAUAGUAUCAACUUUUACAUUUUCUUUCAUCAUGGGAAAAAGAUCACUACAAUAAACUUGCAAGAACACCAUAUAGUGUACAUUAAGACAGCCCAGCUGGAAGAAAGCAGUGUAAACAAAUGGAAAAUAUGAGAGAUGGUGUAUGUGUACUCGAAAGACAGGAAAGAGGUACUGCAAUGGACAAGAGAACCCAUUUAUGUGAUGAGGUAUGAGGUAAGAAACUCCUUGCCAUUGACUUUAAAAACUAAAUCACCUUUCCCCCUUCUACCUCACCUCACUGCGUUCUUGUAAUGCUAACCUGCUCACUGUACUUCAAUCUUGUUU
rnacentral:lncRNA from 1 species